rfam:Tropilaelaps mercedesae isolate Wuxi-XJTLT scaffold0000011882, whole genome shotgun sequence.
GUCGGCUACGGGGACAUCUGCCCCACGACGCUGCUGGGCAAGAUCGUCGGCAGCGUUUGCUGCAUCUGCGGGGUGCUCGUCAUUGCCUUACCCAUUCCCAUCAUCGUCAACAAC